rnacentral:rRNA from 1 species
UACGUAGGGGGCAAGCGUUGUCCGGAAUCAUUGGGCGUAAAGCGCGUGUAGGCGGCUCGGUAAGUCCGCUCUGAAAGUCCAGGGCUCAACCCUGGGAUGCGGGUGGAUACUGCCGAGCUCGAGUCCGGAAGAGGCGAGUGGAAUUCCUGGUGUAGCGGUGAAAUGCGCAGAUAUCAGGAGGAACACCUAUGGCGAAGGCAGCUCUCUGGGACGGUACUGACGCUGAGACGCGAAAGCGUGGGGAGCGAACAGG